rnacentral:rRNA from 1 species
AUUUUAGAUAAUGGAGGGAACUCUGAUCUAGCGACGCCGCGUGCAGGAAGAAGGUCUUCGGAUUGUAAACUGCUGUGGUAAGGGAAAAAUGCUAUGUAGAGUGGAAAGCUACAUAGAGGGAUGGUACCUUACUAGAAAGCCCCGGCUAACUACGUGCCAGCAGCCGCGGUAAUACGUAGGGGGCGAGCGUUACCCGGAAUCACUGGGCGUAAAGGGAGCGUAGGUGGCCUAACAUGUCAACUGUGAAAACCCGGAGCUCAACUCCGGACUUGCAGUUGAAACUGGUAGGCUUGAGGACGGUAGAGGAAGACGGAACUGCCAGUGUAGGGGUAAAAUCCUUAGAUAUUGGCAGGAACGCCGGUGACGAAGGUGGUUUUCUGGGCCGGUUCUGACACUGAUGCUCGAAAGCCAGGGGAGCGAACGG